CACCACACGAUCCACUAGGUC
rnacentral:miRNA from 1 species